rnacentral:rRNA from 1 species
UACGGAGGGGGCUAGCGUUGUUCGGAAUUACUGGGCGUAAAGCGCGCGUAGGCGGAUCUGCAAGUCGGGGGUGAAAUCCCGAGGCUCAACCUCGGAACUGCCUUCGAUACUGCGGGUCUCGAGUCCGGGAGAGGUGAGUGGAAUUCCUAGUGUAGAGGUGAAAUUCGUAGAUAUCAGGAGGAACACCAAUAGCGAAGGCAGCUCGCUGGGACGGUACUGACGCUAAGGCGCGAAAGCGUGGGGAGCGAACAGG